rnacentral:misc_RNA from 1 species
CGGACAGCUCGAUAGAUCAUUUAUCUAUGCGUUUAACGAGCAACGAUACAGUCUGGAGGUAUUAGGUGUUUACCACUCACCUGCACUCUCUGUCUAUGACGAUCCUGUUUCCGUUGCCGCCUCUCCAAUUCUUCUUUUCUCUCGAUCAACGACCUUAUCUCGACCGUGGCUACGGGCGCGAUGCUAUCGUCAGUUACCUGCUCUGGUGGUGAACUCGGCGUGCUCGUGCUCGAUGCCUCCACCACGGAGACGUACUCGCUAAUGCCAGUUUCGCUCUUCUGCAACUUCAAUACCGGCGUCUCGAGGCCGCACAGGAACACUUGGCCGAAGAACAGAAUCUUGUUUAUCCUGAGGCACACUUGAGCAACUUCCUGGAAUACAACAUGAGCCAAGACUUAGCGUGGACGGAAGAGAGAACGGAGGACGCAAGUCUGUUUUGAAAUUUCAAUCACGAGAGAGAUUGACCUUUGU